rnacentral:lncRNA from 1 species
GUUAAUUUAAUAUACUGUAAUUAGGUGAAAUUAAUUGAUAAAUAGUAGGUUAGUUAAUUAGUUGUAUAAAUAGAAGUUAAUUACACAUGUACAGUAGCUUUCUUAAAAUCAGUUAGACAGAUAAUGAAGCUUCUCCUUAUUCUUCAUCGACUUACUUCCUCUUCUGCUAUGGGUGACUAGUUUAGUAUUGUAUCAGAGCUUUAAGGCUAGAUCAAUUAGCUCAGCAGCUUCAGGAGAGGAAUAUCACUGGUUAAUCGCUUCCUUUACUCUAUUCCGUUAUCAUUUUAAAGCAAAUUCCCUG